rnacentral:lncRNA from 1 species
AUAAUUUUAACACCAAUUAAUCAAAUAAAAUUCUAAAUAAUUAAAUUAAAUUAAUCAAUCAAAUUUGGGGUGUUAUAGAAGUUGAUAAAGAGCAACUUUUAAAUAUUUUAGAACGGCUACCUCAAAUUUAAAAAAAAAUGCAGUUUAAGUGUUAUUCUCAUAUCCUUUUCUCCACUGGCACCAGAAGGACCAACCACUUUGAAUGAUC